UAGUGGCGAACGGGUGAGUAACACGUGGGCAAUCUGCCCUUCACUCUGGGACAAGCCCUGGAAACGGGGUCUAAUACCGGAUAACACUCCUGCCUGCAUGGGUGGGGGUUAAAAGCUCCGGCGGUGAAGGAUGAGCCCGCGGCCUAUCAGCUUGUUGGUGAGGUAGUGGCUCACCAAGGCGACGACGGGUAGCCGGCCUGAGAGGGCGACCGGCCACACUGGGACUGAGACACGGCCCAGACUCCUACGGGAGGCAGCAGUGGGGAAUAUUGCACAAUGGGCGAAAGCCUGAUGCAGCGACGCCGCGUGAGGGAUGACGGCCUUCGGGUUGUAAACCUCUUUCAGCAGGGAAGAAGCGAAAGUGACGGUACCUGCAGAAGAAGCGCCGGCUAACUACGUGCCAGCAGCCGCGGUAAUACGUAGGGCGCAAGCGUUGUCCGGAAUUAUUGGGCGUAAAGAGCUCGUAGGCGGCUUGUCACGUCGGUUGUGAAAGCCCGGGGC
rnacentral:rRNA from 1 species